AGUUUUCCACUUGAUUGAACCUCCUUCUGGCUGCCACAAAGAUACUCUGUCAGCCUUGAUCUCCACUGUCUCUAUCUUGUGGUACCACCUCAGAUGUGAUGGGCAUCCAGGAGUCUAUUCUACCUACUACACCAUUGGGCUACUCCUUAAAUAUCAAGCCAUGCUGUUAGAAAACCUGAUACUACCAAAGCUACAUGAUCAACUCUUGGUCCAGCUACCUUGCUCCUAGACACCCAGGAAGAGCACAUAGAUUCGUGUAAAGAAGCACUCUGUUACAGAGUAUAAUACUUUCUUGCUUGUUUUCUUGACUUUGUUUUCACUCUGACUUCCCUGCAACUCUGAACCAAACUCCUUUUUAUCAUGUAUAUGGAGUCCUGUCAUUGUUGAUAGUGCUUUAGGAGCUGGAUAUUACAUGAAGCUUAAGGCAAGGCCAGUAAGCUCCCAUGUCAUUCUCAUUUUAAGUUGCUGAUGAUGUAGUCAUCUGUGCCACUCACAAGCGUCCCACAACAUUCCAUUUUUCUUGGAUUUGUAAAAGUGUACUGCUUUUGGCCAUUCUCUUUCAAGAAAAGGACUCUGCUUAUUUUAAAGGCCAUUUGAAAGACUCCCUCCUUUGCCCUUUUCUUAGCUUCCACCCUCAGGGCAAUAUGGAAAGGAGAAUUGUAUGCAAUUCAGCCCAAUUGCAUACAAUUAUUAAAUGCAGAUACUGUCAGCAAGUAAGCCCUGACUACUUUCCACUGUCACCUUGACCACUCCAUCCCCUAAACACUCCUUAAUACUUCAGUCAACAUCUGCUGGAAUCAUUGUCAGCAUUAUCCUCUCAACUCUACAUUUCAUUUAUCCAGAUUACCCCUAGAGAAAAAUGUUGGAGAUGAGAGGUGAGGGAUAUGGGGAACUCAAGGUCAAGGCCUCAGCAUGGCAGGCCCUUGCCCUGAUAGUCCUCUGAGCAGCACACUCUGGCCAUACCAAUCAGCUACAUGUUUCCCCGCACAUAUACACAUCCCCCCCAUUUCUUGCCACAUAUUCCACAGUCCUGCAUCUCAGUCAGGAGGUCCCAAGCAGAGGAACUGGAAAAUUGACUAAGAGUAUGUAAUUUUCAUCUUUCAUUUGCACAUAGGCAGUAUGUGUCUAUAUAAAUAAAAAGGGCUAAGUCAGAAAUGAAAGGAGGCAGAACAGGGAGAAGGUUAAAAGGGUUCAGGGAAUGUUUGUUUUGCCUUUGGCUUAGAGUUCCCUUUGUUCAGAAAAGAGCUCCAGUCAACAAUCGGAAUAAACAAUUGUGAAUCCUGGUGUCUCCUUAAGUUGCAGCCUAUUUGCCCUUAGGUUACACAACUUUUCUGAACCUCUUUUCACAUCUGUAAAUAGGAAUGAUAAUGGGUUUCCUGUCUGCCUCAGAGUAUCAUGGGAGUCAAAAAUACAGGAAAGUACUUUGUGAGCCUAAUGCAUUAUAUAAAUGUGAGCAUAUUAUCAUUCAUUCAUUCAUUUAACAGAUCUUAGUUGAAUCUCCUAUCAUCAACUGGGCACAUUUGCAAGGCACUGAGUAUACUAAGUUGAGCAAGCUUUAGUACCUGCCCCCAAGGAGUUUAUAGUCUAAUGGGAGGAAAUAGAAAGGAGGGGAAAGAAUAGAUAAUGAUAACACCAUGUGAAGAAAGUGAAAGUGACAAGGGUAUGCUGGGGAAGGAUAGAGAGCAAGAGGAAGAAUAAAGCUGAAACACUUCUUGGAAAAGGAGAUUUAGAGGGAUAGCACAUGUAAUAGGGAUCCAACCCAUUUCAUGAAAACUGAUUUGUAAAUCAACUCCAGAUUAACUUCAACAAAUUGUUUCAUUGUGGGUUGUGAAUUCUGCUUUAUUCUAAUAAAACUCACAUCUCCUAAACCAUUAGAAGAGUCUGUGAUGUGGAGGCAUUAUAUAUACCCAUUAGCUUUUGAAGAAAGAUGGAAUUAACGGAGGAAAAAAAUCAGUGGUAUUGACAGGGACUGUGGGCUUAGAUAGAGUAGACGAAGGGCCUCCGGAAAAAGCAAGGCAGAAUCUUUACAGUCAGAGCAAUGUAACUACAUGCAAGGAAACCCCCUACCAAAACUCUGUGUUAAAUAUUAAGCUCUGGAGUCAUUCUUCAGUGAGAUCCAUUGAUACUCCCCAAAUAAAGGAAAGUAGCCCAUGUUUUUAUUAUGCUAAUUGUUUGUAAUCAUGUGUAAGAUUCACUUUAGCAUGCUAAAAGGGACUUAAUGUCUCAUCAAGGACAAACAUCCUAAGAUCACUUUUAACAGGUCUACAUCCUAACCCCUUUACCAGUUCCCCAAAAUCCUCAACUGCCUAUAAAUCCCCUAGACAACACACCACCCCGGGCUUCCUUGUCCCCACCUGGCGUGAGCCAGGAGCUCUGUCCUCUCACUGUAUCUCUAAAUAAAAGCCUCUCCCUGGCUCUCCUACCUUGCAUGUUUGCUAAGUUCAUUCUUCGACUCCGCAAACAAAAACUCCCAGCCUCAGUAUGUUAAUUAGAAACAUUUGUUUUACAGCUUGUGUUUAAACACUAGAAAAAAAAAAUGCAUUCUACCUCACAUACUUUGUCCCCAACAGUUCUCUUCAGCCAACCUUUCUGAUCCAGGUAAUAUUGCAGAUCGGAGGCCAAGAAUUAUUU